CGGCGCGGAACUUCCUGAGCAGCGAGAGCACCUGGAGCGGGCCCGCGGCGGUGGGGAGAGGAGUGAUCUCACCCUGAACCCGCUGAAAGGGGAUGCAGCCCAGCUUACAGCGAAGUGCGCGGCCCCCUCUCCACAGAGAAAUGAGCCCUUUUUUAAAAAAAAAAAAGGUUGGGGGAGGAAUAAAUAAGCCAGUAAAUAAACAAGCAAACAAACAUUAAGGACCAGAGAGGAAGUUAAAGAAGGUAAAGGGUUUUCUCUUUCCUGUCUCUUCCUGGUGACUUGGGCUCCCAGAACCUCGCUAGAGAGAGGCACGCGGAGUGCACGGGCGCGCGCCCUAUGGCCAGCAAUUACUUCCAAAACCCAUGCUGGUCUCUCCUCUCCCUCGUCUCGGGCACAGGCAAUGUUGCUAAGAAAAGGGGGGAAAGUGGGGCACAGGCUUCGAAGGGGCGACACGAGAAGGGGAGCGUCCGCUGGCUCGCUGUCCGACCUCUCCCCGGCAUCCUUGGGCGAAUCGGAGAGGCGGGCGCGGCGCGGGGCGAAGUUUGUCCACCCGCACUUCUCCGCGGGCUGCGAGGAGAGGAGGUGCGGAGGGGAGAGCUGGGAUCCCGAGGCCGCGAGGAUAACUGAGCCGGCGCCGCGCUUACCUCGCAGUCCUCGUACUUGAUAUUAUCCGUCAGUUUCCAAAGCAUUUUCAUGGAUCGGCGUGAACUGAUUGGCCCCCUCUCUGCCUCGCACCCAAGUGCAGCUACUCGCGGGGUAAGCGCAAAGUGCCGGCUGUGACGCUCUUUACCCACAGCCUAAUCGCCUCAUUAGCAUAUCAACAAUAAUCCAAUUGCUCGCCAGCUCGACUAUCUGCCUCCGAACCAGGUAUAAAGGCCUCUUGGAGCCGCCAACUUGCUCCCGGAGCGCACGCCCCGCCAGUGAGCCCUGGAGAUCUCCCGAGCCCCGCCUCGCGCCCCUGCCCGUCCCCCCACCCCCAGUCCUCCCCAGUCCCCCACUCCGUCCCCUCCUAGAGGGAGCAGCCCGGCGCAGGGGCCAGGCUCUCAGCGCCGCUCCCCCACCUCUGCUGCUAAUAACGGCGCUGUCCUUCCGGCCCCCUCCCAUUUUAUUAGAAAUUACCCUUUUCGCAAUUAAACAUAGCCACCACACCAAGAUCAGCGAAGUCACGCCAGGAUUUUUGCCCAAGAAAAGAUCGCCUCCGCCGGGGCAGCCACCACCUCGGGCCGCAGAGCGCUGGGAGUUUUAUUGGCUUUGUGCUUCACCCCCAGGUUGGAGGUUUUGCCAAACGGCCUCCGUCGCUCGGCUGGGGUUUGCGAUUCUUUAAUUGCCGCGUGUAAAAUAAAAAUUGUACCCUGAAGAGGUUCCUUGACAGCUCCAGGAG